UUCUGCCCUAUGAUUAUUAAUUAAAUGGCUGCAGUAUUUUGACUGUGCAAAGGUAGCAUAAUCAUUAGUCAUUUAAUUGUUGGCUUGUAUGAAUGGAUAAAUGAGGGAUUUAUUUUUUUUAUUUUAUUAUUAAAAUUUUAUUUUUAAGUAAAAAAGCUUAAUUAUUUUUUAGGGACGAAAAGACCCUAUAGAACUUUAUUAUAUUUAACUUUUUAAAUUUUUGGUUAUAUUUUUAUUAGUAUGUUAUUUAUUUUUUUAUUGGGGUGAUAAAUAAAUUUUAACUUUAUUUUGGAUUUUCAUUAAUUUAUGAUUUUUUGGAUCCUUCUUUUGGAUUGUAAGUUUUAGUUACCUUAGGGAUAACAGCGUAAUUUUAAUGGGGAGUUCAUAUUUAUAUUAAAGUUUGCGACCUCGAUGUUGAAUUAAGAUAAGUAUAAGGGGUAG
rnacentral:rRNA from 1 species